UACAGAGGGUGCGAGCGUUAAUCGGAAUUACUGGGCGUAAAGCGUGCGUAGACGGUCAUGUAAGUCGGGUGUGAAAGCCCCGGGCUCAACCUGGGAACUGCAUUUGUGACUGCAUCGCUGGAGUGCGGCAGAGGGGGAUGGAAUUCCGCGUGUAGCAGUGAAAUGCGUAGAUAUGCGGAGGAACACCGAUGGCGAAGGCAAUCCCCUGGGCCUGCACUGACGCUCAUGCACGAAAGCGUGGGGAGCAAACAGG
rnacentral:rRNA from 1 species